CCGUUACGGGAAGGAAAGUAUUUAUCCGCCUAGUUGAGGGGUCCGCGUCUGAUUAGCUAGUUGGUGAGGUAAUGGCUCACCAAGGCGACGAUCAGUAGCUGGUCUGAGAGGAUGAUCAGCCACACUGGAACUGAGACACGGUCCAGACUCCUACGGGAGGCAGCAGGUGGGGAAUAUUGGACAAUGGGCGCAAGCCUGAUCCAGCAAUGCCGCGUGGGUGAUGAAGGCCUUCGGGUUGUAAAGCCCUUUUGGCGGGGACGAUGAUGACGGUACCCGCCGAAUAAGCUCCGGCUAACUUCGUG
rnacentral:rRNA from 1 species